rnacentral:rRNA from 1 species
AUGACUGGCAUUGAUCUAUCAAGCAACUCUCUUUCCGGUGAGAUCCCCGCAGAACUACUUAAUCUUCAAGAUAUUCAGUUCCUCAACUUGUCCAGAAAUAACUUAUACGGUGGUAUCCCAAACAACAUUGGCAAUAUGACAAAUAUGGAGUCCCUUGAUUUCUCUUGGAAUGAGCUCUUAGGUCCCAUUCCAUCAAGCAUAUCAGACUUGAUGUACUUGAGCUCACUUAAUCUCUCCAACAACCUUCUUUCAGGAGAGAUACCUGAUGGCAAUCAACUUCAAACACUCAAUGACCCGUCAAUUUAUAGCAACAACCAAGGACUCUGUGGCCACGCUCUGAGCAUUGCAUGUACCAAUGGUUCGAGUGGUACAACAACACCAUACGGGGUAAAGGAACAUCACCAUGAACUUGAUGUCGUCUGGUUGUACUACUCGGUGGUCGCUGGAAUUGUCUUUGGUUUCUGGCUAUGGUUUGGAACAUUAGUUUUCUGGAAGCAUUGGAGGUUCGCUUUCUUCCAUUACAUUGACGCUGUGCAGAAGAAAGUUAUGAGGAAGAUGAAGCAUAUAUGA